AGCGUACACGGUGGAUGCCCUGGCAGUCAGAGGCGAUGAAGGACGUGCUAAUCUGCGAUAAGCGUCGGUGAGGUGAUAUGAACCGUUAUAACCGGCGAUUUCCGAAUGGGGAAACCCAGUGUGUUUCGACACACUAUCAUUAACUGAAUCCAUAGGUUAAUGAGGCGAACCGGGGGAACUGAAACAUCUAAGUACCCCGAGGAAAAGAAAUCAACCGAGAUUCCCCCAGUAGCGGCGAGCGAACGGGGAGGAGCCCAGAGCCUGAAUCAGUGUGUGUGUUAGUGGAAGCGUCUGGAAAGGCGCGCGAUACAGGGUGACAGCCCCGUACACAAAAAUGCACAUAUUGUGAGCUCGAUGAGUAGGGCGGGACACGUGGUAUCCUGUCUGAAUAUGGGGGGACCAUCCUCCAAGGCUAAAUACUCCUGACUGACCGAUAGUGAACCAGUACCGUGAGGGAAAGGCGAAAAGAACCCCGGCGAGGGGAGUGAAAAAGAACCUGAAACCGUGUACGUACAAGCAGUGGGAGCCUCUUUAUGGGGUGACUGCGUACCUUUUGUAUAAUGGGUCAGCGACUUAUAUUCUGUAGCAAGGUUAACCGAAUAGGGGAGCCGAAGGGAAACCGAGUCUUAACUGGGCGUUAAGUUGCAGGGUAUAGACCCGAAACCCGGUGAUCUAGCCAUGGGCAGGUUGAAGGUUGGGUAACACUAACUGGAGGACCGAACCGACUAAUGUUGAAAAAUUAGCGGAUGACUUGUGGCUGGGGGUGAAAGGCCAAUCAAACCGGGAGAUAGCUGGUUCUCCCCGAAAGCUAUUUAGGUAGCGCCUCGUGAAUUCAUCUCCGGGGGUAGAGCACUGUUUCGGCAAGGGGGUCAUCCCGACUUACCAACCCGAUGCAAACUGCGAAUACCGGAGAAUGUUAUCACGGGAGACACACGGCGGGUGCUAACGUCCGUCGUGAAGAGGGAAACAACCCAGACCGCCAGCUAAGGUCCCAAAGUCAUGGUUAAGUGGGAAACGAUGUGGGAAGGCCCAGACAGCCAGGAUGUUGGCUUAGAAGCAGCCAUCAUUUAAAGAAAGCGUAAUAGCUCACUGGUCGAGUCGGCCUGCGCGGAAGAUGUAACGGGGCUAAACCAUGCACCGAAGCUGCGGCAGCGACACUAUGUGUUGUUGGGUAGGGGAGCGUUCUGUAAGCCUGUGAAGGUGGCCUGUGAGGGUUGCUGGAGGUAUCAGAAGUGCGAAUGCUGACAUAAGUAACGAUAAAGCGGGUGAAAAGCCCGCUCGCCGGAAGACCAAGGGUUCCUGUCCAACGUUAAUCGGGGCAGGGUGAGUCGACCCCUAAGGCGAGGCCGAAAGGCGUAGUCGAUGGGAAACAGGUUAAUAUUCCUGUACUUGGUGUUACUGCGAAGGGGGGACGGAGAAGGCUAUGUUGGCCGGGCGACGGUUGUCCCGGUUUAAGCGUGUAGGCUGGUUUUCCAGGCAAAUCCGGAAAACCAAGGCUGAGGCGUGAUGACGAGGCACUACGGUGCUGAAGCGACAAAUGCCCUGCUUCCAGGAAAAGCCUCUAAGCAUCAGGUAACAUCAAAUCGUACCCCAAACCGACACAGGUGGUCAGGUAGAGAAUACCAAGGCGCUUGAGAGAACUCGGGUGAAGGAACUAGGCAAAAUGGUGCCGUAACUUCGGGAGAAGGCACGCUGAUAUGUAGGUGAAGCGACUUGCUCGUGGAGCUGAAAUCAGUCGAAGAUACCAGCUGGCUGCAACUGUUUAUUAAAAACACAGCACUGUGCAAACACGAAAGUGGACGUAUACGGUGUGACGCCUGCCCGGUGCCGGAAGGUUAAUUGAUGGGGUUAGCGGUAACGCGAAGCUCUUGAUCGAAGCCCCGGUAAACGGCGGCCGUAACUAUAACGGUCCUAAGGUAGCGAAAUUCCUUGUCGGGUAAGUUCCGACCUGCACGAAUGGCGUAAUGAUGGCCAGGCUGUCUCCACCCGAGACUCAGUGAAAUUGAACUCGCUGUGAAGAUGCAGUGUACCCGCGGCAAGACGGAAAGACCCCGUGAACCUUUACUAUAGCUUGACACUGAACAUUGAGCCUUGAUGUGUAGGAUAGGUGGGAGGCUUUGAAGUGUGGACGCCAGUCUGCAUGGAGCCGACCUUGAAAUACCACCCUUUAAUGUUUGAUGUUCUAACGUUGGCCCGUAAUCCGGGUUGCGGACAGUGUCUGGUGGGUAGUUUGACUGGGGCGGUCUCCUCCUAAAGAGUAACGGAGGAGCACGAAGGUUGGCUAAUCCUGGUCGGACAUCAGGAGGUUAGUGCAAUGGCAUAAGCCAGCUUGACUGCGAGCGUGACGGCGCGAGCAGGUGCGAAAGCAGGUCAUAGUGAUCCGGUGGUUCUGAAUGGAAGGGCCAUCGCUCAACGGAUAAAAGGUACUCCGGGGAUAACAGGCUGAUACCGCCCAAGAGUUCAUAUCGACGGCGGGGUUUGGCACCUCGAUGUCGGCUCAUCACAUCCUGGGGCUGAAGUAGGUCCCAAGGGUAUGGCUGUUCGCCAUUUAAAGUGGUACGCGAGCUGGGUUUAGAACGUCGUGAGACAGUUCGGUCCCUAUCUGCCGUGGGCGCUGGAGAACUGAGGGGGGCUGCUCCUAGUACGAGAGGACCGGAGUGGACGCAUCACUGGUGUUCGGGUUGUCAUGCCAAUGGCACUGCCCGGUAGCUAAAUGCGGAAGAGAUAAGUGCUGAAAGCAUCUAAGCACGAAACUUGCCCCGAGAUGAGUUCU
rnacentral:rRNA from 1 species